CCUCUAACAGACCUUAUUAAAGCAAAAUCCCCAGUCAUAGUUAAAUGGUGCCCUGAGGCAGAAAAGGCUUUUAAGAGUCUGAAGGAAGCUAUCUGUAGCCAUCCUGUCCUGGUGACCCCAGGGACUUUAUAGUUCAGACAGAUGCUUCUGAUGUUGGCUUGGGGGCUGUUCUUUCACAGGAAUGCCAGGAUGAAGAACACCCUGUUUUUUUUUU